rnacentral:rRNA from 1 species
CGUAGGGUGCGAGCGUUAAUCGGAAUUACUGGGCGUAAAGCGUGCGCAGGCGGCGCCGCAAGUCAGGCGUGAAAUCCCCGGGCUUAACUUGGGAAUGGCGCUUGAAACUACGGUGCUGGAGUGUGGCAGAGGGAGGUGGAAUUCCACGUGUAGCGGUGAAAUGCGUAGAGAUGUGGAGGAACACCGAUGGCGAAGGCAGCCUCCUGGGCCAACACUGACGCUCAUGCACGAAAGCGUGGGGAGCAAACAGGAUUAGAUACCCUGGUAGUCCACGCCCUAAACGAUGAUGACUAGUUGUUGGGGGAGUUAAAUCCCUUAGUAACGCAGCUAACGCGUGAAGUCAUCCGCCGUGGGGAGUACGGUCGCAAGAUU